rnacentral:rRNA from 1 species
GCGUAAGCGCACGCAGGCGGUCUGUCAAGUCGGAUGUGAAAUCCCCGGGCUCAACCUGGGAACUGCAUUCGAAACUGGCAGGCUAGAGUCUUGUAGAGGGGGGUAGAAUUCCAGGUGUAGCGGUGAAAUGCGUAGAGAUCUGGAGGAAUACCGGUGGCGAAGGCGGCCCCCUGGACAAAGACUGACGCUCAGGUGCGAAAGCGUGGGGAGCAAACAGGAUUAGAUACCCUGGUAGUCCACGCCGUAAACGAUGUCGACUUGGAGGUUGUGCCCUUGAGGCGUGGCUUCCGGAGCUAACGCGUUAAGUCGACCGCCUGGGGAGUACGGCCGCAAGGUUAAAACUCAAAUGAAUUGACGGGGGCCCGCACAAGCGGUGGAGCAUGUGGUUUAAUUCGAUGCAACGCGAAGAACCUUACCUACUCUUGACAUCCAGAGAACUUUCCAGAGAUGGAUUGGUGCCUUCGGGAACUCUGAGACAGGUGCUGCAUGGCUGUCGUCAGCUCGUGUUGUGAAAUGUUGGGUUAAGUCCCGCAACGAGCGCAACCCUUAUCCUUUGUUGCCAGCGGUUAGGCCGGGAACUCAAAGGAGACUGCCAGUGAUAAACUG